rnacentral:lncRNA from 1 species
CGGGCUCGGGCGCCGGAAGCGGAAAUGCGUCACAGGGGCGGGCGGCGGCGGCAGCGGGUCGCGUCGGGGGCGCCUCCGGCGGACGGGGAAGGCGCCGCGCGGGGAGGCCGUGCCUGCCGGGGUCCUCGGGGACCCGCGGAGAGCUGGGGCCAGGGCGGCGGCGGCCUGGGACGCAGGCGGAGCCCCGCGCCGGCCCAAGGUCCCGGCUAUGGCCGCGGCCACCAUCGUCCACGACACGUCUGAGGCGGUGGAGCUGUGCCCGACCUACGGCCUGUACCUGAAGCCCAUCACCAAGAUGACCAUCAGCGUGGCGCUGCCGCAGCUGAAGCAGCCGGGCAAGUCCAUCUCCAACUGGGAGGUGAUGGAGCGGCUGAAGGGCAUGGUGCACAACCACCAGUUCUCCACGCUGCGCAUCUCCAAGAGCACCAUGGACUUCAUCCGCUUCGAGGGCGAGGUGGAGAACAAGAGCCUGGUCAAGGCCUUCCUGGCCUGCCUGGACGGCAAGACCAUCAAGCUCAGCGGCUUCUCCGACAUCCUCAAGGUGCGCGCGGCCGAGUUCAAGAUCGACUUCCCCACCCGCCACGACUGGGACUCCUUCUUCCGAGACGCCAAGGACAUGAACGAGACGCUGCCCGGGGAGCGGCCCGACACCAUCCACCUGGAGGGGCUGCCCUGCAAGUGGUUCGCGCUGAAGGAGUCGGGCUC